rnacentral:tRNA from 1 species
GGCAGCAUGGCUCAGUGGAAAGAGCACGGGCUUUGGAGCCAGAGAUCAUGGGUUCGAAUCCUGGCUCUGCUA